rnacentral:rRNA from 1 species
UUCCUACGGGGGGCAGCAGUGGGGAAUCUUGCGCAAUGGGCGGAAGCCUGACGCAGCAACGCCGCGUGUGGGAAGACGGCUUUCGGGUUGUAAACCACUUUCAGGGGGGACGAAGCUUCCGAGGUUAAUAGCCUACGGGGUGACGGUACCCCCAGAAGAAGCCCCGGCUAACUACGUGCCAGCAGCCGCGGUAAUACGUAGGGGGCGAGCGUUGUCCGGAAUCAUUGGGCGUAAAGCGCGUGUAGGCGGCUUGGUAAGUCUGGUGUGAAAUCCUGGGGCUUAACCCCAGACCUGCACUGGAUACUGUCAAGCUUGAGUCCGGGAGGGGAGAGCGGAAUUCCUAGUGUAGCGGUGAAAUGCGCAGAUAUUAGGAAGAACACCGGUGGCGAAGGCGGCUCUCUGGAACGGUACUGACGCUGAGACGCGAAAGCGUGGGGAGCGAACAGGAUUAGAUACCCCAGUAGUCCAU